CGUAGGGGGCGAGCGUUGUCCGGAUUUAUUGGGCGUAAAGCGCGCGCAGGCGGCUCGGUAAGUCGGAUGUGAAAACCCGGGGCUCAACCCCGGGCCGUCAUUCGAUACUGCCGAGCUCGAGGCAGGUAGGGGAGAUUGGAAUUCCCGGUGUAGCGGUGAAAUGCGCAGAUAUCGGGAGGAACACCGGUGGCGAAGGCGGAUCUCUGGGCCUGUCCUGACGCUCAGGCGCGAAAGCUGGGGUAGCGAACAGGAUUAGAUACCCUGGUAGUCCCAGCCGUAAACGUUGGGUGCUAGGUGUGGGGAGCAUCAACCCUCUCCGCGCCGACGCUAACGCAUUAAGCACCCCGCCUGGGGAGUACGGCCGCAAGGCUA
rnacentral:rRNA from 1 species